UACGGAGGGUGCGAGCGUUAAUCGGAAUUACUGGGCGUAAAGCGCGCGUAGGCGGUUACGUAAGUCGGAUGUGAAAGCCCCGGGCUUAACCUGGGAAUCGCAUUCGAUACUGCGUGGCUAGAGUCUGGUAGAGGCUAGCGGAAUUCCAGGUGUAGCGGUGAAAUGCGUAGAUAUCUGGAGGAACAUCAGUGGCGAAGGCGGCUGGCUGGACCAAGACUGACGCUGAGGUGCGAAAGCGUGGGGAUCAAACAGG
rnacentral:rRNA from 2 species